rnacentral:rRNA from 1 species
GAUGAACGCUGGCGGUAUGCUUAACACAUGCAAGUCGAACGGACUCUUCGGAGUUAGUGGCGGACGGGUGAGUAACGCGUGAGAAUCUGGCUUUGGGUUCGGGACAACCACUGGAAACGGUGGCUAAUACCGGAUGUGCCGAGAGGUAAAAGAGAAAUUGCCUGAAGAUGAGCUCGCGUCUGAUUAGCUAGUUGGUGAGGUAAAGGCUCACCAAGGCAGCGAUCAGUAGCUGGUCUGAGAGGAUGACCAGCCACACUGGGACUGAGACACGGCCCUGACUCCUACGGGAGGCAGCAGUGGGGAAUUUUCCGCAAUGGGCGAAAGCCUGACGGAGCAAUACCGCGUGAGGGAAGAAGGCUCUUGGGUUGUAAACCUCUUUUCUUAGGGAAGAACAAAAUGACGGUACCUAAGGAAUCAGCAUCGGCUAACUCCGU